AAGGGGAAUGGUUUUAAACUGGGACAGAGGAGGUUUAGGUUAGAUAUUAGGAGGAAGUUUUUCACACACAGGGUGGUGACACACUGGAACAGGUUGCCUAAGGAGGUUGUGGAUGCCCCAUCCCUGGAGGCAUUCAAGGCCAGGCUGGAUGUGGCUCUGGGCAGCCUGGUCUAGUGGUUGGCGAACCUGCACAUAGCAGGGGGGUUGAAACUAGAUGCUCUUUGAGGUACUUUUCAACCCAGGCUGUUCUGAUUCUAUGAACUAUACGCCCAAUUUAAGUACACUUGGGAUGAAAAGCACUGCGUAUAUGCUGUGUGGUUGUUAUGAAGUUAGCUUACAGUUGCUUUCUUUUUUCUUCUUUUUCUUUUUUCCUUGAUGUCAUAGACUCAUGUAUCAGUAUCAGAAAUUGAAGAGCAGUUCAGCAUACAAAAAGGAAAGGGAAGGGAAGGGAAGGGAAGGGAAGGGAAGGGAAGGGAAG
rnacentral:lncRNA from 1 species